rnacentral:rRNA from 1 species
CAGUAGCCGCGGGAAUACGUAGGUGGCAAGCGUUGUCCGGAAUUAUUGGGCGUAAAGGGCUCGCAGGCGGUUUCUUAAGUCUGAUGUGAAAGCCCCCGGCUCAACCGGGGAGGGUCAUUGGAAACUGGGUAACUUGAGUGCAGAAGAGGAGAUUGGAAUUCCACGUGUAGCGGUGAAAUGCGUAGAGAUGUGGAGGAACACCAGUGGCGAAGGCGACUCUCUGGGCUGUAACUGACGCCGAGGAGCGAAAGCGUGGGGAGCGAACAGGAUUAGAUACCCGCGUAGUCCCUGUCUCUUAUAC